UACGGAGGGUGCAAGCGUUAUCCGGAUUCACUGGGUUUAAAGGGUGCGUAGGUGGGCAAGUAAGUCAGUGGUGAAAUCUCCGGGCUUAACCCGUAAACUGCCAUUGAUACUAUUUGUCUUGAAUACUGUGGAGGUCAGCGGAAUAUGUCAUGUAGCGGUGAAAUGCUUAGAUAUGACAUAGAACACCAAUUGCGAAGGCAGCUGGCUACACAAAUAUUGACACUGAGGCACGAAAGCGUGGGGAUCAAACAGG
rnacentral:rRNA from 1 species